GCAUCAGUAGCUCAACUGGAUAGAGCAUCAGUCUUCGAAACUGAGGGUUAGGGGUUCAAAUCCCUUCUGGUGCA
rnacentral:tRNA from 1 species